rnacentral:rRNA from 1 species
UGCGGAAGGAUCAUUACUGUGAUUAAAACUUUCUACACAUGCGUGAGCGCAACUACAACACGAAAACGUAUGUACUAUUGUCAAAAAUAACAAAACAAACAAAACUUUCAACAACGGAUCUCUUGGUUCUCGCAUCGAUGAAGAGCGCAGCGAAAUGCGAUACCUAGUGUGAAUUGCAGCCAUCGUGAAUCAUCGAGUUCUUGAACGCACAUUGCGCCCUUCGGUAUUCCGGAGGGCAUGCCUGUUUGAGCGUCGUUUCCUUCUUGCGCCAGCGCAGAGUUGGAGGGGUGUAGUGCCCUUCUGAAAAGAAACGUGCGGGCGAAGCGAACUAUAUUGGGACGCUUGGCCGCCGAACUUUUAUUAAGCUCGACCUCAAAUCAGGUAGGGAAUACCCGCCUGAACUUAAGCAUA